UGGCCUAUUUCUAUCCCGCCGACACAAAGGCCCUUCCUCCGUCAGUCUUCCGCCUCGGCCUUAAAGGGAAAUGAAUGGGCUCUCGGUCGCCCCCCAGCGGCCCCUCGGGUCAGGUCGGCGGCUUCAACAGGAGUUCUGGGAGAGCAGGCUGGGAAUCUUGGGUCCCCAGUGCCGCCCACACCCUCCUCUCUAGAGUGAAAAGCACACCAGGGACCUGGCACUAGAGCGGUGGCCUGGACUGGCCUCACCUCUGGACAGCCGUCAUAGCUUCAUAUGGACCAGUUUACCCAUCACAUGUCAGAAUGGAAGCCAAAAUGGCAAUGGGAGGUGAAAGCUGGACUCCUCUCAUCCAAUCUGGGAAUUCCUUCAUAGCCUCUGUGCUUCGUCUGACCUGGGACCUCCUCUCCUUACUGGAAUCCUGGGCACAGCUCUUCCUGCUCAGCUAUGGAUGAUCCUGGAGACCCAGUCUCAGGGCCCCUCAGGCAUCCGGGCUCUGUCAGCUCCAGCUGAAGGGGGAUCACAGACCCCAAAAGGCCAAGAGGACUAAUAGCAACUCCUAUCCACACUGGAGUCUGAGGCUUCCAGUAUUAAUCGCGAGCUCAUUUUGUCUCCACAAAGAUCCCAUGAAGAGUGAGGGGCCAGUAUUAUUUUACAGGUUAGGAAACUGAGGUCCAGGGGAUAAGAGACCCCCUGAGGGUCACACAGUCACUUAGUGGUGGAUCUUCUGAUGGGAAAUCCUAUUUUCUCCUCCAUCACUUUUCUAAGUUAAAUGAACUUGGCCAUCUACUGCCCCACCUCUUGUUAGAACCUGGAUGGAGUUGGGGAUAGGUGGUUGGAGCAAAGGGAAAAUGUGGACCUGUGACAUUUUAGAGAGGAGAUGGCAGGACACAGUGAGGAGGUGGUCUGCGAUUUUACAGUUGGGAAGGACCCCCCAUACUGAAGGGUCUCCCUUCCCCCAAAUCAAAUGUCAUCUUAAGGGAAAAGCAAGGAUUGGGUCUCCAUGGUGAUGGGACCUCGAUCCUUUUCUCCCUCCUCCUAGAAGAGAGGUUAGUGUUCACUCUAAGAACCAGCCUUGAGGAUAAUGGAGACUCAGGCCAAAAAGGAAGGGGUGGGUUCCGGGAAAGGGCAAAGUGGGCUGCCCGGACUUGGGCUAGAGGGCCACACGAGAAGACACCAGCCCCCCCAGCUAUGAAGUGGGGUACAAAAAGGAGUGAGUGUAGUGAGAGGGUCUUAACAGCACUCUGAUGUAACCCGUUAUAACAGCCAGUACUUCCUGAGCACUAUUCUGGAACUUUCCAUGUAUUGGCUCACUUGAUCAUUGUAACAAGCCUUGACAUAGGUGCUAGGACUACUUCUGCCUUACAGAGGAGGAAAAGGUCAAUGUCUUGCCCAAGCUCCUAUAGUUAAUAGGUGGUGGAGCUGAGAUGAGGAAGCAGGCAGUCUGAUUCCACACAGGUUUAACCACUGUGUCGUUCUGCCUGUUAGAAUUCCAAGGAACGGGGUUCUUAACCUGGGGCUUCAGGGAAUAUAAGCCCCCUAUAAUUAUAAUUAUGCGCAAAAACUGUGCACCUAUGCCUAUAUGCCCUGUUCUGAGCGAGAAUCCAUGGCUUUGAUUACAUUUUCAGGGGUCAGAAACCUGUUUCCUUGUUCUUUCUUGGGACUAGGAUACACCCCAACUCCCCCACCCCCGUCUAUCCCUCACCUUGUCCAGAUGCCUUCCAACUGUAUGUACAUCAGGGCUUACAAACUCCCACCUGAGCUAUGGUGGUAGCUUCCUGCAUGGUCUCCCUAGUCCAAGCUCUCUUCCCUCUGUCCAUUCUUUCUAACAUGCCAAUGGGAUACUAUUUUCCAUCAUAAAAAAAUUUCAGUCCUCUCAGUUGCUGAGGGAUGAGAUAUAAAAUCCCCAGGGCCUGCAAUGCCCUGGUGUGUGCCUCCCUGCCCUAGCUCAUCUCUCAACCAAUCUCCUAAUCAAUACCAAUCCUUCCCCACCCCACUCGUUCUUCAUGCCCUGGCGCACAGGCUGCCUCCUCUAAGAAGCCUUCCUUACUGCCCCAGGAGAUCUUACCGAGAAGGUAAGAGAGCUUACCUUCUCUUUGGUUCCCUGCAUUUUUGGCCUACUUCCAUUAUGACUUGGGUCUCUUAUAUACCUUGUAUUGUCUUUAGGCUUCCCUCACACCUCUCUGCUGGAUUUCAGACUCCUUCAGGGCGACAACUGUGGUGUUCCUUUUGUGAACUGGUACUUGGAAUAGGACUUGAAUACCGAAGACACUUAGCAAGUGUUUGUUGAAUGACUUAAUGCCAUUUGUCAAGAGGGAGUAUAAAUGAAUCUGCUUACUUCCCCAAAUCCCUGCAGUUGCUGGAUGAGGAGACUCACCUUCUUAGACCAAGUGGUGUGCAUCCCCCUCCGUCUUAUCCCAGAAACCCGUCUAUGGGGCACUGACCCCAGCAGGUAAGUGGACCCGCUGGAGCCCCGCCCCCGCGCGCGCGCGCGUGUGCGCCCGUGUGCGCGCCCGUGUGCGUGUGUGUGCGACAGUCUGAGUCGUACAGAGGGGGCUGCUGCAGCCUCCUCCCCGCCCUCCAAGUCCCCAGGAGAGCAGUGAAUCAGCCUGACAAUGAGGUGAGUCAUUCAUGAACUGCUCGGCCGACCCAGCAGGCGGGAAGCAAACGUCAGCCAGCCUCCCAGCCCUACCCCCUACAACCCCCCAGUGGGAUCGCUCAACCCCACGCACUGCAGAUGUUGAAGAAACUGACGCGGGCGAAUCAAGGCACCAAAGCUCAUCUCCUCAGCCCCUCCCUCUGGUUUGCAAUCCAUUCAUCCCCCAGCCCCUUUCUCCCGUCGGGUGGAGGGUGGCCUUAUGAGUCAUCUCAAGAUCUACGCCCCCAAUCCGACACCCACCUGCUCUAGCCUCUCCCAGUUGGUCUUCCUCCAAGGUUGGGGGAGGGCGAGGGGAAAGGAGGCUGGACCCCUGGUGGGGUGCCAGGGUCCGCCUUUGGAAGCCAGACUGACCCACUCAGAGCUGUGGGGGUGGGCAGGACUCUGGGCAGGCUGCAGCUGGCUGGAUCUUGGAGAGCUGGCAUCCAGCUUGCUUGGAGGAGCUUCAAGAGGAACAGGGGGUGGCAGGGAAGGAGUUCCUGAAGUGUGCUGCCUCCAGCACCUGUGGCUGGUGGGGGUGGGGGGGGGCAAGAGUAUUCCUCUGGUUUCCAAGGAAGUCCUACAUGGUGUCUCCCCAG